rnacentral:rRNA from 1 species
CAAUAGCGUAUAUUUAAGUUGUUGCAGUUAAAAAGCUCGUAGUUGGAUUUCGGAUAGGAUUUGCCGGUCCGUCGUUACGAUGUGCACUGGCCAGUCCUAUCUUGUUGUCGGGGACUAGCUCCUUGGAUUCACUUCCUGGGACUAGGAGCUGACGAGGUUACUUUGAGUAAAUUAGAGUGUUCAAAGCAAGCCUACGCUCUGAAUACAUUAGCAUGGAAUAACACGAUAGGACUCUGGCUUAUCUUGUUGGUCUGUGAGACCAGAGUAAUGAUUAAGAGGGACAGUCGGGGACAUUCGUAUUUCAUUGUCAGAGGUGAAAUUCUUGGAUUUAUGAAAGACGAACUUCUGCGAAAGCAUUUGUCAAGGAUGUUUUCAUUAA